rnacentral:tRNA from 1 species
GUGGGCGUAGCUCAGGCCGGUCAGAGCGUUAGGUUGUGGCCCUAAAGGUCGUGGGUUCAAGUCCCAUCGUCCACC